rnacentral:rRNA from 1 species
AUGGACGAAGCCAUCCCUUUUUCCCGUGCAUAUGCAUCGGACUCGGAUGACGAUGGUCCCGAUGAACAAGUUGAUGAGGAUGGGUUCACGGUGAAGGAGGCCGAAGCUUUCGAGAAGGUAUUUCGUCGGGAUCAUCGGACUACAUUGUUCAAGGAUGUUAGUCUCGCGGAUGAAGCCGUGGUAGAUGGUGGCCAAUGUGCACCUCUUGGUGUUAGGCCAAGCUCUCAC